rnacentral:rRNA from 1 species
GGAGGACCAUCUCCUAAGGCUAAAUACUCUCUAGUGACCGAUAGUGAACCAGUACCGUGAGGGAAAGGUGAAAAGCACCCCGGAAGGGGAGUGAAAUAGAACCUGAAACCGUGUGCUUACAAGUAGUCAGAGCCCGUUAAUGGGUGAUGGCGUGCCUUUUGUAGAAUGAACCGGCGAGUUACGAUUUGAUGCAAGGUUAAGCAGUAAAUGUGGAGCCGUAGCGAAAGCGAGUCUGAAUAGGGCGUUUAGUAUUUGGUCGUAGACCCGAAACCAGGUGAUCUACCCUUGGUCAGGUUGAAGUUCAGGUAACACUGAAUGGAGGACCGAACCGACUUACGUUGAAAAGUGAGCGGAUGAACUGAGGGUAGCGGAGAAAUUCCAAUCGAACCUGGAGAUAGCUGGUU